ACAAAGAACGCUAAGGUACUUUUCUGUUAAUCCCCUGUUAUUACAUAGAAUAAUUUUUAAAGCCUUUUCCUAAGUGCUUCGGUCUUGAAUCUACAUAUCAGGAUUCUUGAUAACAAAAACAAAGAAGAAAAACUAAUGAAUGUGAUACAAGAUAAACCAUUGGACCAAGGUUGCAAUGUAGAUCCACAAACCUUCAAAGACAUCAAUGAU